rnacentral:misc_RNA from 1 species
UUGAAUGCUUUCUUAAAUCUUCAUUCUGCUCUCAGGCCAAAAUAAACUAUUCCCAAUCAUUUUAGGGUCGAUUAGAACAUGGUUAAGCCAGCAACUUUUAACAUAUUUGCCACAUUUCUUUUUUCUCAAAGCUGUUGGCACAAUUAGUGGCUGGUCAACCGACCAACACAAUGUACCACAAACAAUAUGUUUUAAGUUGAUGGAGCUUGAAACCAAAGAAGUAGAAAG